rnacentral:rRNA from 1 species
GACGAACGCUGGCGGCGUGCCUAAUACAUGCAAGUUGAGCGAUGAAGAUUGGUGCUUGCACCAAUUUGCAGAGCAGCGAACGGGUGAGUAACGCGUGGGGAAUCUGCCUUUGAGCGGGGGACAACAUUUGGAAACGAAUGCUAAUACCGCAUAACAACUUUAAACAUAAGUUUUAAGUUUGAAAGAUGCAAUUGCAUCACUCAAAGAUGAUCCCGCGUUGUAUUAGCUAGUUGGUGAGGUAAAGGCUCACCAAGGCGAUGAUACAUAGCCGACCUGAGAGGGUGAUCGGCCACAUUGGGACUGAGACACGGCCCAAACUCCUACGGGAGGCAGCAGUAGGGAAUCUUCGGCAAUGGACGAAAGUCUGACCGAGCAACGCCGCGUGAGUGAAGAAGGGUUUCGGAUCGUAAAACUCUGUUGGUAGAGAAGAACGUUGGUGAGAGUGGAAAGCUCAUCAAGUGACGGUAACUACCCAGAAGGGGACGGCUAACUACGUG